GCAAAAACAUCAUAACAUAAACCAAGAUCUAGAUACAAUUUUUGCAAAAGGUUUUGUUUUAACUGAUUCAAAUAUGUUCCAUGACAAUUUUCAUGGUUUUAUUUUCUGCAUCAGGACAAAAUGUGCACUUCCUGAUCCUAAAAGUCAGUGCUUCCUCUUUUUCAUUUAUCUCAACCUUAAAUACCUAUAUUGUCAGGAGACUUACUUAUGCCUUGGCCUAGUGAAAAAAUUAAACUUUUCUAGAAGUAUCUCACUAAUAAUAAUUUUUCAUUUCCAAAAUUUCCGAAAAAAGAAAAAAAAUAAAGAAAA
rnacentral:misc_RNA from 1 species